rnacentral:lncRNA from 1 species
UAGGAGACGGACCACCCUGGAAACAUGGCAUUCUCCCCCAGGAGCCUGUGUGUGGAUGUGGCUGUUAGCAUCAGAGGCUGCAUGUCCACCCCACCUCACCCCAAGUCGCCCUUUACCUGCUAUGAGGGAACUGGAAGCUGCAAGCAUCCUCAGCUGACAACUGCACCUCCGCGAAUGGCUGGGUCUCUGUAGUAAAACUGCGUGCGACUGUCCUACACCUACAAUUGUAAGUCACAGUCAGUGGACAAACCAGAGGAAAUGUUGAGACUCCAACCCAGACAAAGAGUAUCUUCAGUGAUGGCUAAGGUUUGGUCCACCUAACAGAUGGUCCUCUUUCAUCUUGGAUCCCCAAUCCUUCUUCAGGGAGAAGUUCCCAGCCUCUUUUGCCUCUGCUCCCACAUUCUGAGAGGAAGUUGUCCCUCUACCUCCUUAUCAGAGCUCCAGACUCAAAGAUUUACCUACCAACUCACAUGUGCCCUGUGCCCAGCCUCCUCAUAUGAGUGUCGGGAAGGGCGCUGCUCUACAGCCUGAGUCCCACUCUCCUCCUUGCCUUACCUGGAGCAUACAGGCUGCAGCAGCGAGUGUUGUUGCCACUUCCGUUCUGAACCUUGCCAGGGCCACAGCCAGGCUCCUCAACUACACUCGGCUGACCUAGGUCCAGCACACAGAGCAUCGAGACUCCAUACAGCAUGGCCCAUGCCCCCAUAGUGCUUCUCCUGAGUCUUCUGUCGGCUGAUUUCAGGAGUUCCCGCUCCAACUUGCCUUGUCUCUGCCUCUGCCUCUGUCCCCACCCCUCAGACUGGGCUUCAGGCCAGCUCCACCUCCAGUUUCCGGCAGACAUCUGAGGUGUUUGUAAAGGCCUUCUGUGAAGUGUAGAGCAGAGCUAUCCCCUUUCUGGACAUCUCCUAACCCCUACAUGCCUCUCCCAACUCCAGCAAACUCGCCCUGGCUAGGCUACAGAGGAAAAGGAUGCCCAUUCACAUGUGCCACUGCUGCCACCUGUGGGCACCCCUUAUUGUAUAAAACUACCCCCUUCCCCCUUCUGCCCCAGGAAGUUCCUCUAAGCCUGGGAAACUAGGAGAGCCAGCGAGAGGAGUCCAGAGCACACACCAUGCCUCGUUAAGAAGAUCAUCAUAAAGUAGGUAUUCCUAGCAAGUACAUGAAGCCAUGGGCGGUGUGGCCUGCCCAGGUCUAGCCUUGGCAGUUCCAGCUUGGCUCUCCCUGGAGCCACUUUUGUUCACUUCCUCACACAAUUUUAGACAACAAGAAAGGAGUCCCAGAUACAGGUGAGCCUCAUUUUCUUGAACAUGGCCAGCAUGGCUCUGACAGGCCUUGCCCUUCUCUUCCAUUCUCUCUGACUGGCUAGAUUACACCCCUAAACUCAGGGUUACCUGCCCACCAAGGUCUUUUCUCUUAUUUGGCCAUUUCCUCCUCCGGAGGCUGACUGCCAAGGUUCCGCUAUCAAAGUAUUGAAGUCCAGCAAUCAAAAAACCCCUUUGGUUCAACUAAUUAACAUGCCCAAUUAAAAUAUACCACUGCAUCCUAAUCCAUUCUAACACAGGCCUCCCCUUUUUCUCUUCUUAAAAAUUGCAUGUGAAGCCGGG